GUAAGCUUGCCUCAAGUUAAAAUAUCAAAGUACUUUCGCAGAAGUUACUAUCUUGUGCUGAAAUAUGAGGACACUUCUGAAGAUGAGUAGAAUGUGCUGAUUGCUGAAUGGUAGUUAAAUUCUCUUUAAGCUUUGUAUAAUUGAUCCUGAAAGUUUCUCUUCACCAUUUAUCAAAAGUAUUGUUGUUUCAAUAAUUGGGAAUAGUUAUAUGAACCGCUGAAAUCCCAAUUUUCGUCCAUAUUGCCACCAGCAAUUUGUGGGUUUUAACUGCUAGUGCAAAUAUAGGUUGUAGAAAAUCCUGUGUUAUUGUGCUGUAGUAGCAUUUUUCUCUGUUUACCUAUAUUUUGUGUUGUAAAAAUACUAUAAAUAUGGAUAAUCUCCAUUUUGUCCUUAAAGGGCACACGUAUGAAAAUUGACAUGGCAUUUUCACUGGUCUCUGAAUGUGCAGUCACUAGGGUCAAAGCCUCUUGUGUUUGGCAAAGGUUCUCUAAGGAGGCAGUUAGCUAGAGAUCUUCUUACUGGUGAACAUCGUGUCCUACAAUCUGCUUCUGCAUGGCUGAAAAAUUAUUGUGUGACUCUAUCAAGUGACUGAAAGCUUUUAGUUUUACGACCAACAAUGGCUGGCAGAUGUGCAUAUAGAUGGAGUAUUAACCAGGACUUCAUUCAGGUGUCAUGUCCACAAGGUAGUUCCCAAAAUUUUGACUGGAGAAAUAAGAAAGAAUAAAUGAUAGCAGGAGGAAGGCUAAUUGAUUCAAUGUGCAUUGUCUUCAGCAUACUACUGUAAUAAAGUUGAUCUGGGACGCCCCAUGAUAAAGGAUUCUUGUGCUUCCCCUCACCAAUUUCACAGUUAUUUGAAUUCAAAUAUUGGCAGAAAUUAAUUCUCAAACCUGUCUGGUAGGAAGAUUAAUAGCGUCGGACACAAUAUCAAAAAAUAGAAUAAGUUAAAUUUUUAUUUAUUAUAUUGUUCGUCUUACCAAACAUUUGUUGUUCAAGUUGUGCUUACAAAAUUUUAAACACGCAAGCCAUAUAUUCUAUUCCCUUAUGUGGCAAAGGUCAAUUUUAAUUCAUCGUGGAACUAGGUAUGGAGUUGUUGUUUCUACC